UGUUUUUUGUCCCCUUCAACAAUUAUAUAUCUGCUAUAUCGGAAAUCUGCAAUGAAUCCAUAACUACCAUCUCGGCUACAACCUUGGAGCCCUAGUAAUCCAUUGCAGCACUUACCUAGCAUUCCUAAUCCUUUAGAUCACCUACUUUGUGUGUGUGUAUG